rnacentral:misc_RNA from 1 species
AGAGAGAGAGAGAGAGAGAGGAGCAUUCCAUGGGUUAGAUGUUAAAGCAUACUUUUAACAACAUUGGAAACAUCAGUUCAUGGAAACCAAAAAUGUUGAAGGAGUUCCUUCAUCAAUAAAAAUAAAAAAUAAAAUAAAAAAUAAGAAGGCACAAAGUUACUUUCAUAAUCAAGAAAAUAAAACAUAAAAAACAUAGACUGAUUAAGAGUUAGGUAUACCUGAUUAGCUCCAUGCUUAAGGCGUCGAUACUUCCCAACAUUGAAGUGUUUGGUAUCAUGACCCAACCAGCGAAGAUAUCUUGUAAGUUUCGCAGCAGUAAAAGUCUUGCCUCGAGCAGGCAAACCAACCAGAACAAUUGCCAAAUGUCUAUCCUCCUUUGGUCCAAGCAUCUGAUCAGCUACAGCUGCUGCUGCAACAGCUCCAGCAGCUGCUGGCAUUGAAUUCUUGGUUUCUGUGUCCAGUUUGAGAUCAAAAGCAAAAGUACUUGAACUGGAUGAUUUAACUAGCCUAGGAGAUCCAACCCCCCUAUCCACAAAGAGUCCCCUGUGACCAUCUUGCUUUUGCAAAGGAGAAAAUGUCCCCACUGACUUCGAUUCAACCAACCCAGAACCUGAGUAGACCCUGGAUGGAUCUGGGAUACUGACCUCCAUCUCCUUAAUAGUUGCAGGCCGAUCAACAGAAAAACUACCAUCCUUAUAGGAAUUUGAAGCAUUGCCUGAGCCAUCACCACUUGAAAACCUUGGAUUCUCAGCAUUGUUAGCUGCAUAUACCAGACCUGAGUUUGCAGAAGUUGAUGGCGCUGGGAUGACAUAAUGUUCAAGAUCCAGCUCCAAACUAGCUGAGGAGCCAUUCUGCAAGAAAUUGGAAAGAUUUUCUGUAGUAAGUGAACAAAAACUAUCAUCAUAAAAUAUACACAAAUAAUUAAUCCACCCAGUAGAUGAUAGAUAGAAUCAACUGUUUCAGCAGAGAAAACACCUCAAUAGAACUCAAUUGCUCAACUAAACAGUUCUCCCUAAUACUUCGCCAUCUUGAAAUAAUGAUUUAAUUCCAUAAUAUCUAGCUUGGGUGAGGGAAACUUUUAACAUUUAAAAGCAAUAGUCAGGAAAACGUGGGUGGUGAAACCAUGAAAGAGAAAGAAAUGGUUGCAUCUAUUUCCAGGCAGUAACUGGUAAAUUGCCAAAAAUAUCAUGCAGGCAUUAUUUUAGACUAUGUAAGCAUAUUCCAAAAUAUACACAUGAUCAAUACAGAAUUAGUUAAUCAUCCAAUGCAUGUAGACUUACCAGAAAUAAUUAAAAAGAAAAAAUAACAAAAAGAAAUAAUAUAAACAUCUACAAUAAAGUAAGAAGGCAGGUUCCAAUAUCAUGUUGAAGUAUCUAGCCCAAAAACUUAAACUAGCACGGGCAGAGGCCAUUAUGGGAUAAAAAGUCACCAAACUUAAAACCAGAAACUUGACCAAUAUGGAUAACUCAAUACUCUUCCUCACCUUCAAGUUUGUAGAAUUAUAUACCUGACACAGCAUAAAAAGUGAGCAUGGCAUGCCUAUUCCAUGGAUAAUAACAACACAAUGAAAUACAAUGGCAAGCUCUGAUAACAUAUCAGAACAUCUCACCUAAAAACUUAAGGUUAACAGUUGGAGAGAUUCUAGCAAUGAAUUCACACCAAAUUUAAGAAAAAAAAAAUGGUAUGGUAUUAAUCAGUGUUGUCCAUUCCCAAAAACAAAGAGUUAUGGAGCAGGCAACACAUUCAAGUGACAUCAAGCAAUGGAUUCCAAGAUUUGUAUCCCCACAAACAAUUAAGAAUAAACUCUCAGAAGAAAUAGCUUAAAGGGGGCCAUCAAACUAUGAGAGUUCGAAAGAUGUCACAGAAACAGUUAUGUUUUGGCUCUUCGUAACAGUGAAUUCAGAUAUGCUG